rnacentral:rRNA from 1 species
UACGGAGGGCGCGAGCGUUACCCGGAUUUACUGGGCGUAAAGGGCGUGUAGGCGGCUUGGGGCGUCCCAUGUGAAAGGCCACGGCUCAACCGUGGAGGAGCGUGGGAUACGCUCAGGCUAGACGGUGGGAGAGGGUGGUGGAAUUCCCGGAGUAGCGGUGAAAUGCGCAGAUACCGGGAGGAACGCCGAUGGCGAAGGCAGCCCCCUGGCCCACUGGUGACGCUGAGGCACGAAAGCGUGGGGAGCAAACCGG